AGUGAACGCUGGCGGCAGGCCUAACACAUGCAAGUCGAACGGCAGCACAGAGGAGCUUGCUCCUUGGGUGGCGAGUGGCGGACGGGUGAGGAAUACAUCGGAAUCUGCCUAUUUGUGGGGGAUAACGUAGGGAAACUUACGCUAAUACCGCAUACGACCUACGGGUGAAAGCCGGGGACCUUCGGGCCUGGCGCAGAUAGAUGAGCCGAUGGCGGAUUAGCUAGUUGGCGGGGUAAAGGCCCACCAAGGCGACGAUCCGUAGCGGGUCUGAGGGGAUGAUCAGCCACACUGGAACUGAGACACGGUCCAGACUCCUACGGGAGGCAGCAGUGGGGAAUAUUGGACAAUGGGCGCAAGCCUGAUCCAGCCAUGCCGCGUGGGUGAAGAAGGCCUUCGGGUUGUAAAGCCCUUUUGUUGGGAAAGAAAAGCAGCCGGUUAAUACCCGGUUGUUCUGACGGUACCCAAAGAAUAAGCACCGGCUAACUUCGUGCCAGCCGCCGCGGUAACAC
rnacentral:rRNA from 1 species